rnacentral:rRNA from 1 species
GGAAUUGCCGUGACCCAGUCUCCUUCCGGACUCUUUCUCUCUCAACGUCAGUAUGUCCUCGAUCUCCUCUCUAAAGCCGGUAUGUCCGACUGCCAUUCCUCCUCCACACCUGCUGCCCCCGGUUCAAAGCUUUCCGCCAAAGGUGACCCAUAUCCUGAUCCUACUAUCUACCGUAGCAUCACCGGUGCUCUUCAAUACAUGACUCUUACUCGUCCAGAAAUCACAUACGCUGUCCAGCAAGCCUGUUUGUAUAUGCAUGACCCUCGUCUCCCUCACUUCAACCAUGUCAAACGUAUCUUGCGUUAUCUCAAGGGUACUCUCGAUCAUGGUCUUUCUAUUUCACCCUCCGCACCAACAUCCCUAACCGCGUACUCUGAUGCAGACUGGGCUGGAUGCCCAGACACUCGUAGAUCUACUUCUAGCUAUUGUGUAUACUUGGGUGAUAACUUGAUUUCAUGGUCGUCAAAGAGACAACUAACAGUUUCCAGGUCAUCUACUGAAGCCGAGUUCCGCUCUGUUGCACAUGCUGUCGCUGAAACAGUGUGGCUUCGUCAACUCCUCCAAGAGCUGCAUCGGCCUCUUCACCAAGCUACUGUCGUGUACUGUGAUAAUAUCUCUGCUGUGUACAUGUCUUGUAAUCCUGUACAGCAUCGUCGUACAAAACACAUAGAGAUAGAUAUUCACUUUGUUAGAGAAAAGGUAGCUCUAGGUGAUGUUCGCGUUCUCCAUGUUCCAACCAGCGCCCAAUUUGCUGACAUCUUCACCAAGGACUACCAACAGCAGCCUUCGUCGACAUUCGUG